rnacentral:rRNA from 1 species
UUCCAUGCAAGUCGAACGCGAAAGCGGGGCAACCCGCAAGUAGAGUGGCGAACGGGUGAGUAAUACAUCGGAACGUGUCCAGUAGCGGGGGAUAACCUCUCGAAAGAGAGGCUAAUACCGCAUACGACCUACGGGUGAAAGAGGGGGAUCGCAAGACCUCUCACUAUUGGAGCGGCCGAUGUCGGAUUAGCUAGUUGGCGAGGUAAAAGCUCACCAAGGCGACGAUCCGUAGCUGGUCUGAGAGGACGGCCAGCCACACUGGAACUGAGACACGGUCCAGACUCCUACGGGAGGCAGCAGUGGGGAAUUUUGGACAAUGGGCGCAAGCCUGAUCCAGCCAUGCCGCGUGAGUGAAGAAGGCCUUCGGGUUGUAAAGCUCUUUCGGCGGGGACGAAACGGUCCGUGUUAACACCAUGGAUCACUGACGGUACCCUCAGAAGAAGCACCGGCUAACUACGUGCCAGCAGCCGCGGUAAUACGUAGGGUGCAGGCGUUAAUCGGAAUUACUGGGCGUAAAGCGUGCGCAGGCGGUCUCUUAAGACAGGUGUGAAAUCCCCGGGCUUAACCUGGGAACUGCGCUUGUAACUGAGAGGCUUGAGUGCGGCAGAGGGGGGUGGAAUUCCACGUGUAGCAGUGAAAUGCGUAGAGAUGUGGAGGAACACCGAUGGC